rnacentral:rRNA from 1 species
AUACGGAGGGUGCGAGCGUUAAUCGGAAUUACUGGGCGUAAAGCGUACGUAGGCGGUUGGUUAAGUUAGAUGUGAAAGCCCCGGGCUUAACCUGGGAACUGCAUUUAAAACUGACGAACUAGAGUUGAGUAGAGGGGAGUGGAAUUUCAGGUGUAGCGGUGAAAUGCGUAGAGAUCUGAAGGAACACCAGUGGCGAAGGCGACUCCCUGGACUCGAACUGACGCUGAGGUACGAAAGCGUGGGUAGCAAACGGGAUUAGAAACCCCAGUAGUCC